rnacentral:rRNA from 1 species
AUUGAACGCUGGCGGCAGGCCUAACACAUGCAAGUCGAGCGAGCGGCGGACGGGUGAGUAAUGUCUGGGAAACUGCCUGAUGGAGGGGGAUAACUACUGGAAACGGUAGCUAAUACCGCAUACCAUCAGAUGUGCCCAGAUGGGAUUAGCUAGUAGGUGGGGUAACGGCUCACCUAGGCGACGAUCCCUAUCUGAUCUGAGAGGAUGACCAGCCACACUGGAACUGAGACACGUUCCAGACUCCAACGGGAGGCAGCGGUGGGGAAUAUUUCACAAUAGGCGCAAGCCUGAUGCAGCCAUGCCGCGUGUGUGAAGAAGGCCUUCGGGUUGGAAAGCACUUUCAGCGGGGAGGCGUUACCCGCAGGAGGAACACCAGCUGACGCCGUGCCAGCAGCCGCGGUAAUUC